GGAAGAGGCUCCGGCCUCAUUGGAUCCCUUUUACAGUUGGAUUCUCCCUCUUGGAUCUGGCUCUGCCUUAGUCCGACCUAGAGGGAUCAGCUUCGCCCACGCCCACUCUCACCCGGAACCUUUCAUCUCUUAUUGAAGCCUUUUAGGCCCAUUGGGAUGUUCAUUAGAACUCUGAAAACUACAGUUCUCCCCUUUAUGAGGACUGCACCACAGCUCGCCCUCUCCUGGGUUCCGCCUGGUUGCAGAGUGAGCCCAUGGGACAGCCCUCUGAAAUUAUACUGCUUACAACCAUGCUGAGUCUGCAAGGACUUCGUCCAAGCCUUUCCGUCCAGGACCUCAAACAGAUCCAAUCACAAGAAGAGAGAUUUCAGGAAAGAGAAAAUUAUUCCUAUCAUCGGGGUUUUUGAAGAACAUGAAAUGACUGGGAAAAUAAUCAUGUUAAGUGGAAAAAAAAAAGAAAUCUAUCUGUUGUAAUUUUCAAAUAAUUUUUAAAUAAAUUUGAAAAAUUAAGAGAACUAUAUAUAUAAUACAUUCCUAAUCUUGUGAAAAAUAUAUAUGCAUUAAUAUUAUUGAAAGAAAUAUAUCAAAAGGUGAACAGCAAUUAUCACCAAUCUAGAUUAUGAGAUUAGGAGUGAUUUUUUUUCUUUGUCCUAUACUAUUUAAUAUUUUCUACCAUUAAAAUAUUCUGAUUUUCUAAUUAGAAUAGUACGUUAGACAAAGAAGGACAAAUAUCACAUGAACUCUCACUCUCUUAUGGAACAGAUCUUGUGGAAUCUAAAAAAGUUGAACUCAUAGAAAAAGAGGAAAAUGAUGGUUACCAGUUAGAAAAAAGGAAUAAGUUCAAGAGAUCUAUUGUACACCAUGGUCAAUAUAGUUAACAAUAUAUUUUAUACUUUAAAAUUGCUAAGGUAGUAGAUUUUAAGUGUUCUCACCACACAAAAAAAUAAGUAUGUGAAAAGCAUAUGGUAAUUAGCUUGAUUUAACCACGCCACAGUGCAUACAUAUGUCAAAACAUCAUGUUGUAUACUAUAAAUAUAUACACUUUUUGUCAAUUUUAAACAGGUUAUAAAAAAACAUGUUAUUGUUGAUAAUUAUGAAAAAUUUUAAUGAUGUGGAAAUGUGUACAGUAUAAUGAUAAAUGAAAG
rnacentral:lncRNA from 10 species